rnacentral:rRNA from 1 species
GACGAACGCUGGCGGCGUGCCUAAUACAUGCAAGUCGAGCGGACAGAAGGGAGCUUGCUCCCGGAAGUCAGCGGCGGACGGGUGAGUAACACGUGGGCAACCUGCCUGUAAGACUGGGAUAACUUCGGGAAACCGGAGCUAAUACCGGAUAGGUUCUUCCUCCGCAUGGGGGAAGAUGGAAAGACGGUUUCGGCUGUCACUUACAGAUGGGCCCGCGGCGCAUUAGCUAGUUGGUGGGGUAAUGGCCCACCAAGGCGACGAUGCGUAGCCGACCUGAGAGGGUGAUCGGCCACACUGGGACUGAGACACGGCCCAGACUCCUACGGGAGGCAGCAGUAGGGAAUCUUCCGCAAUGGACGAAAGUCUGACGGAGCAACGCCGCGUGAGCGAAGAAGGCCUUCGGGUCGUAAAGCUCUGUUGUCAGGGAAGAACAAGUGCCAGAGUAACUGCUGGCACCUUGACGGUACCUGACCAGAAAGCCACGGCUAACUACGUGCCAGCCGCCGCCGUAAAAC